CUCCUGGAGUGCUGAGUCACUUGAAUUCUGCUACUGUGUCAUGUGCUCAAUUGUCUGAGUACUGAACCUGCUUAUGUCAUAUCUUGCUAAAUGUGUUUUCUGUUUCCCCAUUGGAGUUUAGACUGAAUGUUUUCCAAAUUAUCCACCUACUCAGAAACUGGAAAAGUUCUCUCUUAUGAUGUAAUCCUCAUCUUAAAAGUCUUUGUUGAUCUUUUCCAGGAUUCUGUUUGGGAUUUUAAAGCUAGGACAUUUUUUGCAUGCUUUACUCUUUUUAUGUAUACCGUCAGCACAAGGAGCAUUACUCUGUGUGAUUAAGAUAUAAUUCCAAAUUACCAACUGUUUGUGUUAUCCCAUCAGAUUAUAUUACUGUGUAUAGAAAACUCUUGGUUGCUCUCUGAGGGAUGUGUAAAUGCUGCUGGUUGAGUUUCUCUUAGUGAGAGACUCAGUGCUCAGUGUUCACCAGACCAUCCCUGGGGCUAAUCAAGGCUGAGCUCAAGCCCUCAGAAAUUCAUUAUCCACAGCCCUCCCCCAAAGACUCGUCUUGGUGCAAUAUUCAGCAAACAGAAUAAAUUGAGUGCUCUGGCUUCACUCAUCAGUAAUCAGUAGUGACAUUUCUUUUGCAUUGCUGUUCAAUGUAUGUGCGUCGGUGCAGUUCUCCAAGUAUCUGUAAGGCUUUCAGUGCUUUCAGAAUGGUGAGUCAGUCUGUGCAAGUUUCAAAAGAUGUAAUGAUCCAUCUUCUUUGCAGCCUUGUAACUUCCUUCCUCAGCGACUGCCCUCUGCAUUUCUCAAGUCUCAUUGGCUGCAGAUAUCCUAUUUAUAGCUUAACUUCCUUGUCUUGUGUCCUUGUCCUUCGGAGUGCUUGACCUGCAGUGACUGCUGUCUCUCCCUGAGGAUGUUUUCUGGCUCUGCUGUACCAGAUCAGGGUUUCUCAUCCUGCCUCCUGCUGGGUCUUAUGCUUGCUGCUAUACAACCCAGGCAGUGCACACUAUUGGAGUUUCAUGCUGAGAACUUUCCAGCACCAAAGGUGGCUUUGGUAACUGGAUGUGGUUUGGCUCUAUUCCUACUUCUGACACAGAGCAGAGGGUACUUAAUACAAAAUCAGGAACUAUUUCCAGAUAAUAUAAAAUAAAUUAGCCACACAAAUGUCUGUGCAGCAGAAUGCACUGAAAGGUCUUCUACAGAAAAUGUGCCAAGUUUGGAGGAGACAAACUUCUGUGACUUGGAAUUAAUGCAAUUCCAUUUACCUUCCCCUUCACAUUUCUUAUUCAGGCUCUAAAAGUGACUCCCACUUGAUCACAUGCAUGAACAACUAUCAGCAAUCGAAAAGGAUAGAUUCUGAGUGUCAGCUAAACUGAUCUGGCUGCAGGAGAUGGUAUAGUUUCUGCUUCCUUGAAGUCUAAUAAUGGGUAGCUCUCUUUUGCAACCUGCCUUCCAGGCUGGCCCAAGGACACGCGAAGGCAUUGUCAAAACAGAAAAGGAGUGAAUUAUUCAGUGUUUAAAUAAAGUCGUCAGCUCCCUUACA
rnacentral:lncRNA from 1 species